AGGAUGAUUUUUGGACAUUCUGCCUCUUUCUGCUCCCCACCCUCUCCACACCCAUCCUGGUGGGAAAGUCCUGGAAGAUUAAAAAAAUUGGCUUUUAUAAAAUGGCAUCUUAGGGGUCCAAUAAAGACACUAUCCAACUUUUAAGACAACAGGAACAUUCAAGAGGACUCACUCCUUUGCCUUCUGCAAAGCUCUGAAAUUGCAUGGAAAAAGAGGCAAAAACAAAACAAAAAUUCCCCAAGGCAUGCUUGGUAUGGGUUAAGGGAGAGCUGAGAAAGCGAGCGUAAUGGAGGCAACAGCCCAAGUCACACACUGACUGAGUGCAAUGAUGGAUGGCUGCAAAGUGCCACCUGCAUCCCCUGAAAAGCCUCUCCAGGGAAGAGAGAGGGAUGGGAAGGGGCAACCUAAGCGGGAUGGACACUGCCUAAUUUGGGGCAGUUCUGACCACUCUCAGGCUUUCGGGAUCCCAGUGGGGCUGCUGGAAGGACAGCAAACUAUUCCUCUACAACCAUCCUCAGCUGAACACAUCCUAUAACACAGGAUUUCCACAUGCAUUCAAGUAGAUGUGUGGACAUGUCUACAAAAUGUGAGACAAACAGUGGUAGCAUCAAGUUGACAAGUAUGAUACCAGCUACAACAUUUGGGCAAAGUCUGAAAACACUCAAAUAAUUUUAACCUACUGUGAUUCUGUUGAUAACAACAUAGUCCCCAUAAAACUUUGGGAUAGUACAUUAUCAGCACAAAAUGCAAAGCCAUGGCUAUUUUUUCCCUUUUUUUAUCUUCAAUAUGUUGAUUCAUCUGCAAGUUUUUGAAGCUUGGUUUGUAUUCAUUCUCCACAAAUGCUGCUGGCUAUAUAAAGUUUGCCAACAGCAAAUUACGCUUACCUGUAUUCAACUGGAGUAAAUCAAAAGAAAUACCACUUAGUCCUAAUGAAUUCAUUGAGAAUGAAGUCCCACUGCACUCACACUGAGGCUUAUUCUUAAAAACACAUAUACAAAGUAUGAUUCCACAUACUUCCAAUACUACCUGAAUUUUCUCCUGUAUUUUCCAGCUCUUAUUUGCUGCGUUUUUUAGUAACUAAACAUAAAAUUGAUUCACCAGCUUUCACAGUUAUGGACAGAUAAAUAAUUUUUUAUUCUUUUCAGGACUCCAGCACCAUUAACUGAAUGCUUUCUGCUUCCACAUUUUGCCCUUUUCAUUGCCUUAUGAUGACAUCAGCAUGGAAUUAGUUGUGAAUAUCCCUUAGUUGUCCUUUCAGUACUUCUGCUAGUUUUGUUCCUCCAAAGGAGAGGAAUGGAUACUUAAUUACUCAUUUUCUCCCAUCUUCUUCUUUUAUUUUGUUUGUUUUUUUAAGUGGCUUCCUCUAGCAACACUAAGGGACUAAGGGGCUCUUGUUAUGGAAGCAUCCUUAAGACUCCUCUUCAGUUAUAUAUAUCUCCUCCUUAGUAUUUACAGACUUCUCUUGUAAUCCCUUCUAAAGUCAUGGUUAUUGUUUCUUGUUCCAGUCUCACGCCAAAUUGCUGUUUGAUUUUCCAUGUGAAAUUAUUAAAGGAUUAUAUUGUUUAUCUUAUCCUUUAUCUCUCCUGUUUGGUUUCCUACUGGUCAGCUGUGAUGGGAUGGAAAGGAGAAACAUUAUUCAAACUGUUCCUUUAUUACCAUAAAGGCUGUUUAAAAUUAUUACUUGCUAAGUGUAAACGCUGUUGACUCUUUGAAUGUGACAUUUAUUAAAGAAGGCA